rnacentral:lncRNA from 1 species
GCGGGUGUUCCCGUUCCCCGCCCCCGCUACCGGGGACACCCCCUCCCCCUCCCCUCCCCCCUCCCGCCGAGACGUUACCGGGACCGGGCUGCAGAGCACCGGGACGUGCCGGGACCGGGACACCGGGAACCCCCUGUAAGUGAUACCGAGACCCGGCGGUGAGUCACCGGGGGGGCGGGGGGGGGCUGGUCCCGGUACCGCGGCAACUCUAUUUGCCCCCCCCGAGGUGUUACCGGGACCUGGCUGCAGACCACCGGGUGGUCUCGGUACCGGGACAACAGGGAGAGCCCCCGACAGGGUGCAACCGGGACCGGGCUGCAAAGCCCCCGGGGUUUUUGGGGCGGGGGGCACCGGAGGUUCCCAGUAUGGGGGUGUCGGGGGCCAGACUCUCGGGGGAUGGUCCCGGGGAGCCGGGAAGGGGGAGGCAGGUCCCGGAGGAUGACAGGGACACGGGAUGCAUCCCCCCUCCCGGGGCAGGAUCUCCCGGGGAUUAACCGGCUGCCGCCCCCGCCGUGCCCAUCCCGGGCUCGGGGACCACCCCCGGGCUCCCGACCGAUGGCUCGGCCCCGGGUGGCACGGCCGGGGCACGGCCGGGGGCUCUGAUGUCACCCGUGGGAGCCCGCGCCCGGCGCUGAGUCACGGCGGGGCCACCGCGCCCGGCCGGCCCGCGGGGCCGUUCCCACGCGUUCCCAUUCAUUCAUUCGUUCAUUCGUUCGUUCAUUCAUUCAUUCAUUCAUUCAUUCAUUCAUUCACUCCCUGCCCCCGGGGUGCCCCCAGCCCCACUGCUCCUGUCUCCGGCCGUCCCCGGUGCUGGGGCUCCCCGGUGCUCCCGGUACCGGGUGCUCCCUGUCCCGGUGCCUUCAGGCCCUAUCCCAGUCCUGGUUGUCCCGGUCCCCCCGGGAUGUCCCGGUCCCGGUUGUCCCGGUCCCGGCCCCCCCAGGCUGUCCCGGUGCCCGUAGGCCCGGUCCCCCCCGGGCUGUCCCGGUGCCGGUGCCCCGGCCCGGCCCCACGUGCUGCCGCCGCCGCCGGAGUAAACACUGCGCGUGUCGCCAUGGCGACGGCGUUCCAUGCCCCUGACGUCACCACGUCCGGCGUCCUUUGUUUACGUCGCGCGGCAACCGCCGUGGCCCUGGCAACGGGGAGGGAGGGGGGCGGGGCUUGGCGGGCUGGGGGGCGGGGCUUGGAGGGCCGGGGGGCGGGGCCUGCGCCAAGGUUUUCCCGCGCUCUGCGGGGCUGGGG